UUGCAGGCAGGCAGUCUGUCUCUCUGUCUCUCUCUCUCUCUCUCUCUCACACACACACACAGAGAGAGAGAGAGAGAGAGAGAGAGAGAGAGAGAGAGACUGUUCCUUUACU
rnacentral:miRNA from 1 species